AAGGCGCUCAAGCAAGUGCUAUCGUAACCAACAUUUGGGGCAUUUGGUGGGCAAUCAAAGCGUAAACAAACAUUCGAGCAUUUCAAAUCGAGUAAAAUCGAUGUUUUGUGGGGAAGUGCGUAAAUGAUCGAUAAUUUGAGGGGUAGUGCGGUAAAGGGUACUGAAUAAACAAAAUGAUGCUGGCCACAGCUACAUGACGUCAUAGUAGGAAGCUGGUUUCUACCCUAACUGCUGUCAAACCGUUUGUUUGAAGCGAGUUUCGAGGCUAGUUUCAACGUUGUUGAACUGAAAAUCAAGUCAGUUUCAAACCUGGUUUUUAUACCAGGUUUGCUCAAACCCCCGUUGCUAAGUGCGAACCAAACACAGCUUCGUGGAAAGUUUUUGUUUGAUGAAACUACCCUGGGUCAGUUCCAGUUUUCUCAGGCGAAAAUGACAUAAAUAUGGUUACAUAUCAAAAUCUAAUUUCAUAUCCAAUAUUAUACUAAACCUUUUUUAGAAAUACUCGAAGAUUUGUUUGGACCGGCAAGUAUCAUCUUGAAAAGCUUUCAUCUUUCAUUGAAAGCCGCUAUUUGUAAAGGUCCACAAUAUUAUUCAACAUAAAAACAUCUGAACACACACUUUCAAAUCCAUUUCUGAGUGCCACGGUUGGCGUGGUAAUCGAUUUAAAGCGAUACUUGCCUGUCUGUGCUCGUGUUCGCAAAUAAACUUAUUUUCAACCUGUCGCAGUUGGCACUGAACCAGUCGUAUCAUAGUUACGGUGUUGAGAGUUUGUUGGCAUAAACAUUGUCCACCCGGUAUCAAACUCGUCGUUUUGCACGUGUUGUUGGUGUCUGUAGCAUUCUCGGCACUGCAGAGAAGACCGUCUGACCCGGCACCUCGAGUAUCCAUCUAAUCUCGCAGCUAGACGAAAGGCAGAUAAGAGAAAAAUGGCAUCCAACGUACCACGGAUUAAGCUAAACAACGGCCUGUCGAUUCCCAUUCUCGGACUCGGAACGUGGGGCGUAAGUACAGAAUUUAAUUACCUUUCCUUCUAGAAAUAUGACAGCAAUAGCGUGGGUUAGAAAUCGAUUGU